AUGUGCAGCUGUUUAACGUGCAAUCCGCCAUUUUCUGUCUCCUUUGCUGCUUGCAUUGAUCGUAGCGGACACAAGAGGGCGACACAGGACUAUUUACUGAUGCUUCAACGUGCUCAAGGACGAGGUUUCUCAGCCCGGGCUCGAUGGCGUUCCGAAACUGCUCUCAGUAUCAAGGCCUGCUGUGACUGUAUUUGCUCUGAGAUGGAUAGGGCAAGUGUACGCUCAUGCGGAAAUACACAGACCUUUGAAGUGGCCCUCUGUCACCACAUGGCAGAUCCCCCUAGUGUGAUCCCUCUGUCCAUUUGGCCAAAGGACCAACACUGGAUGGUAGCAAACACCCAUCUGUGCAGUUACCAGUGCCACUUUCCUGUGUUGGAUGGGCUUUGCACUCAGGUGAGCGAAGACUGUGGCUUCUCUCUUGGCAUUCACCGCGUGCCUUAA
ensembl:lncRNA